AUGAACGCUGGCGGCGUGCCUAAUCCAUGCAAGUCGAGCGAACAGAUAAGGAGCUUGCUCCUUUGACGUUAGCGGCGGACGGGUGAGUAACACGUGGGUAACCUACCUAUAAGACUGGAAUAACUCCGGGAAACCGGGGCUAAUGCCGGAUAACAUUUAGAACCGCAUGGUUCUAAAGUGAAAGAUGGUUUUGCUAUCACUUAUAGAUGGACCCGCGCCGUAUUAGCUAGUUGGUAAGGUAACGGCUUACCAAGGCAACGAUACGUAGCCGACCUGAGAGGGUGAUCGGCCACACUGGAACUGAGACACGGUCCAGACUCCUACGGGAGGCAGCAGUAGGGAAUCUUCCGCAAUGGGCGAAAGCCUGACGGAGCAACGCCGCGUGAGUGAUGAAGGUCUUCGGAUCGUAAAACUCUGUUAUUAGGGAAGAACAAAUGUGUAAGUAACUGUGCACGUCUUGACGGUACCUAAUCAGAAAGCCACGGCUAACUACGUG
rnacentral:rRNA from 1 species